rnacentral:rRNA from 1 species
GAUGAACGCUGGCGGCGUGCCUAAUACAUGCAAGUCGAGCGAACGGACGAGAAGCUUGCUUCUCUGAUGUUAGCGGCGGACGGGUGAGUAACCCGUGGAUACCCUACCUAUAAGACUGGGAUAACUUCGGGAAACCGGAGCUAUUCCCGGAUGAUAUUUUGAACCGCAUGGUUCAAAAGUGAAAGCCGGUCUUGCUGUCCCUUAUAGAUGAAUCCGCGCUGCAUUAGCUAGUUGGUAAGGUAACGGCUUACCAAGGCAACGAUGCAUAGCCGACCUGAGAGGGUGAUCGGCCACACUGGAACUGAGACACGGUCCAGACUCCUACGGGAGGCAGCAGUAGGGAAUCUUCCGCAAUGGGCGAAAGCCUGACGGAGCAACGCCGCGUGAGUGAUGAAGGUCUUCGGAUCGUAAAACUCUGUUAUUAGGGAAGAACAUAUGUGUAAGUAACUGUGCACAUCUUGACGGUACCUAAUCAGAAAGCCACGGCUAACUACGUG